rnacentral:misc_RNA from 1 species
UGACCUCAUGCAUGAUGCCAUAAAUAAAUUGAUUAAUUUAAUUAAUUAAGUAGGUUUUUGUGGUCUUCCAUAAACCAAAAUAGAUAAAAGAAAAUAAAAGAAAAACAAAAUUCAUUUUUGCUUUUCUUCUUCCUUUGUGCCACCCCACCUCCUCUCAAGUUCCUCCAUGAAUUUUCUUCAUUUAAGCUUACACUUAAGCUUAAAUUCCUUCACUUAAUCUCUAUAAAUCCUCUAAAAACCUCACUAGACCUUGCAAUCUCAACUUAAGAACAAGAAAGAAAGAAGAAAGAAAGAGAACAAUUGAAGAUUUGGUGUUUAAGUUGAGGUUAGUAUGUUAACUUGUCAUUUUUCCAUUUUAAAUGCAUAUGUGAUGGUUGAAAUGAGCUUAGAAUUAAUGAAAUGCAAUGAAAAUAUAGAGGAAGGACCAUUAUUGGAUUUUCGGCCAGCUUGAAGGGGGCCAUGAUUUGCAUGAAUUUAAUGGGUUUGAA